UUGAUCUAGGAGUAGGAACUGGUCUCAGGUCACUGACUGCCAGGGUGGCCUGGGCAAAUCGUUUCUCCUCUUGGGGGCUCAGGGUCCCCACCCGUGCAGUGAGGGCACACGUGCUCUGAUGCCUUCAUGAGUGGCAGCACUGCACCAUGUUAGGCACGGGGGCUUCUGGGCCUAGUCCUUUGUCUUGCUGGCCGUGGGGAAGUGGAAAAGGCCUUACCCUGCCAAGAUGCGUCUUCCCAACCCACUCAACAUGAAGAUGACAAGGAUGAAGACCUUUAUGAUGAUCCACUCCCACUUACUGAAUAAUAUCAAGCAUUUUAUUCAACUAUGGAAUGGAAGCAACAGAUUACAGCAGCAUUAACAAGACCUGGGAUAUCAUCA